rnacentral:rRNA from 1 species
UGGGGAAUAUUGGACAAUGGGCGAAAGCCUGAUCCAGCCAUGCCGCGUGUGUGAAGAAGGUCUUCGGAUUGUAAAGCACUUUAAGUUGGGAGGAAGGGCAGUAAGCGAAUACCUUGCUGUUUUGACGUUACCGACAGAAUAAGCACCGGCUAACUCUGUGCCAGCAGCCGCGGUAAUACAGAGGGUGCAAGCGUUAAUCGGAAUUACUGGGCGUAAAGCGCGCGUAGGUGGUUCGUUAAGUUGAAUGUGAAAGCUCCGAGCUCAACCUGGGAACUGCAUCCAAUACUGGCGAGCUAGAGUAGGGCAGAGGGAGGUGGAAUUUCCUGUGUAGCGGUGAAAUGCGUAGAUAUAGGAAGGAACACCAGUGGCGAAGGCGACCACCUGGGCUCAUACUGACACUGAGGUGCGAAAGCGUGGGGAGCAAACAGG